rnacentral:rRNA from 1 species
CAGUCGCCGCGGUAAUACGAAGGUCCCGAGCGUUGUUCGGAAUCACUGGGCGUAAAGGGAGCGUAGGCGGCGUGGUAAGUCAGAUGUGAAAUCCCGGGGCUCAACCCCGGAACUGCAUCCGAUACUGCCAUGCUAGAGGAUUGGAGAGGUAGCUGGAAUUCUUGUGUAGCAGUGAAAUGCGUGGAGAUCAAGAGGAACACUCGUGGCGAAAGCGAGCUACUGGACAAUAACUGACGCUGAGGCUCGAAGGCCAGGGUAGCGAAAGGGAUUAGAUACCCGCGUAGUCCCUGUCUCUUAUACC